GUAGUUAAAAGAUAGAACAGUCUAGCCAAGUGCCAUGUCUCUUAUUCUUGAUCAGCUAUAGCUCUGGAGUUUUUGCAGAUUUUCAAAUAAAACUCAGAGAUUCCUUGUAUGACUCUCUAAAUCUUUCUUUUGUGGUAUUUCUGGAUCCUUACCAAGGCAGUGAUGGUAUAUGCCUUCUCUCAAGGUAUGUGGUAUUUGUGGUAUAAGUCAUAGUGACAUUGCCUUCUCUCUCACCCUACUCUAAUAAGGCUUUAAUAUCUGGAGCUCAUAGGUGGGAGAUAAAGUAUACAUACUUACAAGACAUUUAUUGUAUAGUCAAACCAUGGAUCCAAAGAAACAAAUCAAUAAGCCAAAUCAAGAUGUGCAUGUGUGGCAAAUGAAUGGUGUAUGGUGAUGAUGGUGAUAACAAUGGUGAAAGUCUAAUUCUACUUUUGCUCUUUUGAGGGGUUACAUACCUUCCUUGCUUUUUGAAACUUUAUGAGGAGAAUGAGAUGCUCUAUCUUUCAUUUUUCUUUCCUCUCAGGUGGGUAUCCUGUACCCCUAAUUCUACUGUCGGACACUUGUCCAUUUUUACCUCUCAUCUCACUCUUUUUUCUUUUCUUUCGUGGUUCCGGGCACUUGCCCCUUUUUAUUUCCUCGUAUAUUUUUUCUCUCCUUUUUUUAGAGCACUCAUCUUAUGAGAUAAUAUAGCAAGUGGUAGUAACAAGAUAACUUGAGCAUUUAUUUCACAAGGAAAAAUAGAAAUAUUUUUGGUUAUUCUCUCCCGGAUUAGGAGUAGGAUUUUUUUGGGUAGUUCUGGAGAUGGAAAUGAGUGGAUAUAUGUGGAUGGUACUUCCGGAGUAGAAGUAGCAUAUAUGAGUGAAUGUGCAAGUGAAAUCUUGAUUUAACCACAUGACAAGCUCCUAAGGGUCUACACAGCUUGACCACACUCAAUGCUCAUAAGCAGUAAAUAGUAAAUGUGUGGCUCAAAGUCUAGCAAGCAUGUAUAUAUGGCAGUGGUAGGAAUUUAAACUUUUCAUCAUACAGGAACUCAUCAUGCAAUAUUUUAAAGAUUUUUCAAAGAUAAAAUUCUCCAGAAUUCUAGCAUCUCUAGGAAUAGAUAAACAGCAGCUCAACCUUCCCAUAUCAUAUCCGUUAACAACUUAGAUUUCAGAUCAAGUUUUCAUCCCACAAGUUUAGAUCUAGAGCAAGCUUUAAAUUAUAACAUUUAUGUCUAAACUUGAGAGAGAACUUCAAAUUUGCAAAUUAGGCAGAAUAACUAUUCAUCAUAUCCAUGCUAGAGUUUUAUUAUUAAGAUUCAGAUUAGCAUAGCCACUUUAUUUAUUUAUUAAAAACACUAAGCAAAAGAUAUAUAUAAGCACAAAAUCUUUGUUUGGUUUUUCAUAGUUUAUGUAUUUUAAUAUUCUAAUAUAAUAUAAGUAUAAAGAUAGGUAGAAAUACUUAGCGAGAUAAAUGGGGGUGCUCUCCCCCAAGCUGAAUUUUGACGUAAUUUCUCUUGAUGUAGCUAGCAGGUGGCAGAGGUGUAUUUAAAAGUCAGCAGUAUUCUGACAGCGAUUAGAAUGUCCUCCGUCUGCUAGUCUUCUUGAUUCUUAAAUUCUGUGGAGCUCAAAUAGACAACAAAGCUUGUGGAACUAAUUAAGUGUUAGCAUAAAUAUCUAGCCUUCAUCAUGUUGAGCUUCCUCAAUAAAUAUUACUCUCUGUUUUUAUAUUUUUAUUUUAUAAAGAAGAAAAGAAAUAUUUAUUUUAUUUUUAUGCCACCACAGUGAAGGUACUUAUGGGUUUUAUGCCACUCGUAUACUCACAUGGGGCUUAGUAUUUUUUAACAUUUUUAUUUUCUUUUCAAGAUAGCAUGAUUAACUAAUAAUCUAUUUAAGGAAAGUAAAUAAUUAAAGGGAAAAGGGAAUGCAGAAAGGAUAAAUAUGGAUAACUACCGAUCUUACCUUUCGGCGAUGGUUCAAUGUUUUAAGUCUUCUUAACAAGACUUCUCACCGUGUUCAUUCUUCAGGUGCGUCAUUUGAUUCAGGAGCGGAACUUGACGUCUGCACCUCUUGAUACGGUGUCACCCAUGUUCUUCGUUUGCCCAGCAGUUCGAAGUGCGGCGUUGGCAGUAACCUGCUCAGUGUGUUUGUGCUCGUAGAUCCAGGUCCUUCACUUGGUAGAGUCUGAGAGUUAUAAAACUCCUCCGUGUUUUGCUCAAAGUGUACCUACUCAUAGAGACAAGGCAGAGAUCAAGUGCAUGGGUCCUGUUGGUGGAAAACACCAACAGAACCUAAAGUGUAUUUGUUCUUCUCUAACCCUAAGCAUAGUGAGCAAGACAAAGUUGAUGGAUGAAAAGUUCAUGAGUGUAGUACUUAUAACAUUUGUCAGAUCAGAUCGCUCAACCUUAUGGAAAGAUAAUCUAUCUAUGUAUAUGUCUUUUUCUUUAUAUCUCUCAAUGAUUGAAUGUGUAACAUUUUAGCUCAUAUGAUUAGGAGUGUGGGAUCAUGGAGGUAGUACUAAGAACAAGGGUUAAAGGACUAAACAUGUUGAAUCAGUUGGGUUGGUUAAUCUAGAGUUGUAAAUCAUACAUGUUUGUCUCUUUUAUUUAUAUGAACGCCAUAACCAAGGAGAAGCUUAUAGAAGUGAUAGUCAAGUACCUUAGAUGUUACCUUGCUUGAAGAGUGAUGGUACAAUAUCACCUUGUGGAAGCUUUCCUUUCUUAGCGGUUGUGCAUCGUGUUUGUGGUACCCUCCAUGGAUCAUCUCUCUAUGAUGAAUGAGCUAUGUCCUUCUUGUGCAAAUUGUUAAACUUCAUGUGUCACUCUCUUCGUCUCUGAUGUGAGUUUAUCUCAGGACUUUCCAAAUCGAUAUUGAAAGUUUUUCUGCAGGGGUUAGUCCGACAAAAAUAUACCAGUGUCUACACAAGCAGUUUUUAGUUCAAUAACCGAACUAGACUCCAUGUCUAAUCAGAUUAAGGAAGGCUGUUUAACCUAAGCACCAUGCUUAAUUUAAAAGCCAAUAGAAGUAUGUGCAGUACUUCCAAACUAACACUUACUAGUAAAUAGACAAAGGUAACAUGACAACAUUUAUAG
rnacentral:lncRNA from 1 species